GGGAAAGAAGCCUGUGGAGGGGAGUGUGGGCCGUGUCAGCCACACUGCUGACAGCCCAUCCGUUAUCCACAGGGCUUGGCAGAGAGAGGCUGAGCCCCUCCGGCCUGUCGUGCACUGCCCUGGCUGCUACACCCCAUCAUCCAACGGCCCCAGUGAAAGAACAGAGAACAGUCCAUCCACGGAUGUUAGUGAGGGUCAAGAGGAAAGAGGAAGUGGAUGGCCACAGCCUGAUGGUUCACACGUUCACAUAUCUGGAAGAUCAGAGACGUUUCCAGAAAUUUGCCGUCCACAGUGAGUAAGGAGAGCCUCUGGCCUUCAGCUCCACAAGUCCUUUCUUCUCCAAAGUACCAAGACCUUCAAAAUGCCCCACCAUGAGCCUUAGACACAACCUAUGUUCUUCAAGGUCACACAUCUUACUGUUGGGCUCCUAGACACUCAACGAUGCAGGAGGAGGCAUUGCCACCAGGGGCACUGAGGUACUCAUACAACAACUUCGUGGGAUUUCGAGAGAGGGUAUUCACUUGUUUUCCUUCUGAGAUCAAAAUCCCCCACCUCGAGAGCUGGCCUACCAUAUAGGUGGAAGAAGAAAUGAUUCAGU
ensembl:lincRNA C230057A21Rik RIKEN cDNA C230057A21 gene